UGGCUCAGGAUGAACGCUAGCUACAGGCUUAACACAUGCAAGUCGAGGGGCAGCAUGGUCUUAGCUUGCUAAGGCCGAUGGCGACCGGCGCACGGGUGAGUAACACGUAUCCAACCUGCCGUCUACUCUUGGACAGCCUUCUGAAAGGAAGAUUAAUACAAGAUGGCAUCAUGAGUCCGCAUGUUCACAUGAUUAAAGGUAUUCCGGUAGACGAUGGGGAUGCGUUCCAUUAGAUAGUAGGCGGGGUAACGGCCCACCUAGUCUUCGAUGGAUAGGGGUUCUGAGAGGAAGGUCCCCCACAUUGGAACUGAGACACGGUCCAAACUCCUACGGGAGGCAGCAGUGAGGAAUAUUGGUCAAUGGGCGAGAGCCUGAACCAGCCAAGUAGCGUGAAGGAUGACUGCCCUAUGGGUUGUAAACUUCUUUUAUAAAGGAAUAAAGUCGGGUAUGGAUACCCGUUUGCAUGUACUUUAUGAAUAAGGAUCGGCUAACUCCGUGCCAGCAGCCGCGGUAAUACGGAGGAUCCGAGCGUUAUCCGGAUUUAUUGGGUUUAAAGGGAGCGUAGAUGGAUGUUUAAGUCAGUUGUGAAAGUUUGCGGCUCAACCGUAAAAUUGCAGUUGAUACUGGAUAUCUUGAGUGCAGUUGAGGCAGGCGGAAUUCGUGGUGUAGCGGUGAAAUGCUUAGAUAUCACGAAGAACUCCGAUUGCGAAGGCAGCCUGCUAAGCUGCAACUGACAUUGAGGCUCGAAAGUGUGGGUAUCAAACAGGAUUAGAUACCCUGGUAGUCCACACGGUAAACGAUGAAUACUCGCUGUUUGCGAUAUACUGCAAGCGGCCAAGCGAAAGCGUUAAGUAUUCCACCUGGGGAGUACGCCGGCAACGGUGAAACUCAAAGGAAUUGACGGGGGCCCGCACAAGCGGAGGAACAUGUGGUUUAAUUCGAUGAUACGCGAGGAACCUUACCCGGGCUUAAAUUGCAGAUGAAUUACGGUGAAAGCCGUAAGCCGCAAGGCAUCUGUGAAGGUGCUGCAUGGUUGUCGUCAGCUCGUGCCGUGAGGUGUCGGCUUAAGUGCCAUAACGAGCGCAACCCUUGUUGUCAGUUACUAACAGGUUCCGCUGAGGACUCUGACAAGACUGCCAUCGUAAGAUGUGAGGAAGGUGGGGAUGACGUCAAAUCAGCACGGCCCUUACGUCCGGGGCUACACACGUGUUACAAUGGGGGGUACAGAGGGCCGCUACCACGCGAGUGGAUGCCAAUCCCAAAAACCUCUCUCAGUUCGGACUGGAGUCUGCAACCCGACUCCACGAAGCUGGAUUCGCUAGUAAUCGCGCAUCAGCCACGGCGCGGUGAAUACGUUCCCGGGCCUUGUACACACCGCCCGUCAAGCCAUGGGAGCCGGGGGUACCUGAAGUGCGUAACCGCGAGGAGCGCCCUAGGGUA
rnacentral:rRNA from 1 species